AUGGAUCUGGAGCAGCACUGGGCGAACCCUGACACCACUAUAGAUCCAUCCUUCUGUGGUAGAGCUGCAGAUGCAAGCAUCACAUGUAGACUGCACUUGGCCCCAUGCAUGAAAUAUGUUGCAUUUGAAGGAAAGGACACUGGGAGGAGGUUCUAUGGAUGUGUUGUUCCUCCGGAUGGUAUUGACUGUGGAGUUGCUCAGUGGGUUGAUGCCUCAUGGCCUUCUAUUCUGCAAAGAUGUUUGGAGAAGAUAUGGGAGAUGUUUCGUGAGGAGAAUCAUGGCAGAAUGAUUGACCAUGAGAAGUAUAAGAAAGAGUUGGACAAGGUCAACAAGCAGUUGGAUACACUUGGGGAUCAGUACAGUCAGCUGGUUGAGGAAGUCACCAAGAUGUUUGAUUGGGCAGAUCAGAACAACAGGGUCAUGAGUGAUGAAGAGUUCAAGCAGAAGCAGAUGGAUGUGGACAAGGACAUGGAGAAGCUAGCUAUCAGCAAGGAGAAGCAGAGUACUGACUUUGGCAAGAUGAAGGAGAUGGAGAAGCUGGCUCAGGAGCUGAAGGAGAUGAAGUGCAUUCUUAGGUCUUAG
rnacentral:rRNA from 1 species